rnacentral:rRNA from 1 species
GAUGAACGCUGGCGGCGUGCUUAACACAUGCAAGUCGAACGAUGAACCAGGUGCUUGCACUUGGGGAUUAGUGGCGAACGGGUGAGUAACACGUGAGUAACCUGCCCCUGACUUCAGGAUAAGCCCGGGAAACUGGGUCUAAUACUGGAUAUGACUAUUGACCGCAUGGUUGGUGGUGGAAAGAUUUAUUGGUUGGGGAUGGACUCGCGGCCUAUCAGCUUGUUGGUGAGGUAAUGGCUCACCAAGGCGACGACGGGUAGCCGGCCUGAGAGGGUGACCGGCCACACUGGGACUGAGACACGGCCCAGACUCCUACGGGAGGCAGCAGUGGGGAAUAUUGCACAAUGGGCGAAAGCCUGAUGCAGCGACGCCGCGUGAGGGAUGACGGCCUUCGGGUUGUAAACCUCUUUCAGUAGGGAAGAAGCCGAAAGGUGACGGUACUUGCAGAAGAAGCGCCGGCUAACUACGUGCCAGCAGCCGCGGUAAUACGUAGGGCGCGAGCGUUAUCCGGAUUUAUUGGGCGUAAAGAGCUCGUAGGCGGUUUGUCGCGUCUGCCGUGAAAGACCAGGGCUCAACCCUGGUUCUGCGGUGGGUACGGGCAGACUAGAGUGAUGUAGGGGAGACUGGAAUUCCUGGUGUAGCGGUGAAAUGCGCAGAUAUCAGGAGGAACACCGAUGGCGAAGGCAGGUCUCUGGGCAUUUACUGACGCUGAGGAGCGAAAGCAUGGGGAGCGAACAGGAUUAGAUACCCUGGUAGUCCAUGCCGUAAACGUUGGGCACUAGGUGUGGGGGGACAUUCCACGUUUUCCGCGCCGUAGCUAACGCAUUAAGUGCCCCGCCUGGGGAGUACGGCCGCAAGGCUAAAACUCAAAGGAAUUGACGGGGGCCCGCACAAGCGGCGGAGCAUGCGGAUUAAUUCGAUGCAACGCGAAGAACCUUACCAAGGCUUGACAUGUUCCAGACCGGACUAGAGAUAGUUCUUCCCUUCGGGGCUGGUUCACAGGUGGUGCAUGGUUGUCGUCAGCUCGUGUCGUGAGAUGUUGGGUUAAGUCCCGCAACGAGCGCAACCCUCGUUCCAUGUUGCCAGCACGUAGUGGUGGGGACUCAUGGGAGACUGCCGGGGUCAACUCGGAGGAAGGUGGGGAUGACGUCAAAUCAUCAUGCCCCUUAUGUCUUGGGCUUCACGCAUGCUACAAUGGCCGGUACAAUGGGUUGCGAUACUGUGAGGUGGAGCUAAUCCCUAAAAGCCGGUCUCAGUUCGGAUUGGGGUCUGCAACUCGACCCCAUGAAGUCGGAGUCGCUAGUAAUCGCAGAUCAGCAACGCUGCGGUGAAUACGUUCCCGGGCCUUGUACACACCGCCCGUCAA